rnacentral:rRNA from 1 species
GAGGAAGUAAAAGUCGUAACAAGGUCUCCGUUGGUGAACCAGCGGAGGGAUCAUUACCGAGUUUACAAACUCCCAAACCCCUGUGAACUUAUACCUAUACGUUGCUUCGGCGGGACUCGCCCCGGCUGCCAACCCGCUCGCGGGGAGGCGGACCGGACCCAGGCGCCCGCCGGAGGACCCAAACUCUUCUGUCUCUCAUAGCGGCAUGUCUGAGUGGAUUUUUAUACAAAAUGAAUCAAAACUUUCAACAACGGAUCUCUUGGUUCUGGCAUCGAUGAAGAACGCAGCGAAAUGCGAUAAGUAAUGUGAAUUGCAGAAUUCAGUGAAUCAUCGAAUCUUUGAACGCACAUUGCGCCCGCCAGUAUUCUGGCGGGCAUGCCUGUUCGAGCGUCAUUUCAACCCUCAAGCCCCCGCGCUUGGUGUUGGGGUGCCGGCGUCAAGCGCUGCCCGCAGCGCCCGCCGCCCCCGAAAUCGAUUGGCGGUCUCGUCGCAGCCUCCCUUGCGUAGUAACAUACCACCUCGCAUGGCGGAGCGCGACGCGGCCACGCCGUAAAACGCCCCAAUUCUCAAG